CAUGCAAGUCGAACGAAUGGAUGUCUAGCUUGCUAGACUGAAGUUAGUGGCGAACGGGUGAGUAAUACAUAGGCAAUCUGCCCUGAAGUGUGGGAUAGCUAUUGGAAACGAUAAUUAAUACCGCCAUAGGUAGUAAGAAGGCAUCUUCCUACUNUUAAAGAUGCGUCUGCAUCGCUGCAGGAUGAGCUUAUGGUGUAUUAGCUAGUUGGUGAGAUAAAAGCCCACCAAGGCUAUGAUACAUAGCUGGUCUGAGAGGAUGAACAGCCACAUUGGGACUGAGACACGGCCCAGACUCCUACGGGAGGCAGCAGUAAGGAAUUUUCGGCAAUGGGGGCAACCCUGACCGAGCAACGCCGCGUGAGUGAUGAAGGUCUUCGGAUCGUAAAACUCUGUUGUAAAGGAAGAAUGUCAUAUAUAGGAAAUGAUAUAUGAGUGACGGUACUUUACUAGAAAGUCACGGCUUACUACGUG
rnacentral:rRNA from 1 species